GAUGAACGCUGGCGGCGUGCUUAACACAUGCAAGUCGAACGGAAAGGCCAGUGCUUGCACUGGUACUCGAGUGGCGAACGGGUGAGUAACACGUGGGUGAUCUGCCCUGUACUUCGGGAUAAGCUUGGGAAACUGGGUCUAAUACCGGAUAGGACAACUUUUUGGAUAUUGUUGUGGAAAGCUUUUGCGGUAUGGGAUGAGCUCGCGGCCUAUCAGCUUGUUGGUGGGGUAAUGGCCUACCAAGGCGUCGACGGGUAGCCGGCCUGGGAGGGUGUACGGCCACAUUGGGACUGAGAUACGGCCCAGACUCCUACGGGAGGCAGCAGUGGGGAAUAUUGCACAAUGGGCGCAAGCCUGAUGCAGCGACGCCGCGUGGGGGAUGAAGGCCUUCGGGUUGUAAACUCCUUUCGCUAGGGACGAAGCUUUUUUGUGACGGUACCUGGAGAAGAAGCACCGGCUAACUACGUG
rnacentral:rRNA from 1 species